AUCUCUAGACCGAAUCGAGAAGAUGCAUUCAUUUCUUUUUUCUCUUAUUUUUUUCUUCUUUCUCGGUCUUUUCUUCUUCUUUCUUCUUCUGCGUUCUUCCUGCUGAUAAUUUGAGAGUGUUGGUGAGAGAAUCGGUUGAUAAGGAGUAGAUUAAGUAGGAGAUGUUACUGAUGUUGAUGAGGACAUGCGUGUUGUGUUGAUUUGCUGUUGAACAAGUUAGGGUUGCUCAGAUAAUUGUUUAGAAGUUAGAUUUGUGAGGAUUAAGAUGAAAUUAAAGAUGGGUUUGAAGAUUAUAACCAGAAGAUGAGGUUGGUGAGGUCAGUUUAGAGGAUUUGAUUUCAAAGAUGUUCUCAAUUUGAGAAAUCAGUGAACUUAGGUUUUGAGGGAAAUACAGAUGAAGAACUGGAAGAUGAAAUUGAGGGUUUAGAAGGUUAAUUGGAGGUGGGUUUAAUCUGAAUUAGAGUUGAGGUUAAAGAAUAGCUUGAAUUUGGUAGUUAGGGUUUGAGCAGUGAUCUGAAGUUCAAGAUGAAGUUGAUUGAAGCUGAGUUGUGUUGGCUGUGAUGAACCGUUGAUUAGGGAUUUGGAUUAUUGAGGUUUGAAAUCAAGAUGGAAAGAACUAUUGGGCGUUAGUGGAUUGAGUUGAUGGGUUAUUGAGUAUGAGAUGAGUUUCUGAAUCCAGUUAAAGAAGAAGAAGAACCUAAAUUAAAUUGCUUGAGUGGAAUCUUCUUCAGGUAAUUGUUUUCUCAACAACUUAGUAAAUCUAUGAAUUUCAGUUAAUGAUUUUAUGGAUGUUGUUAAGUAUGAAUUGAAGCUAAAGAUUAUAGUUGAAGUAUGUUGAAGAUUGGUUCUGUGUUUAGUCUCAACUGAAAUUGCAGAAAGAUUGGAGUAUGAAUGCUACAGAUUAUAGUGAUGAUUGUUUUAGAAUGGCUAAUUGAAACGCAGUGUUACUUGAGAUCAAUUUAUGUGCAUCUGGAUUGGGAAAUUGAGUAGUUGAUUGAGUUACAGAAUCGCAGAUACAGUUUGGAGAUGGUGGUAGGUCUGUGUAAUUGCAAAUGCAGAUGCCGUGAGUUGAUUUAUUGGUGAAUUGAAUUGAUGGAUGAACUAGUGCUUGUGAUGUUGAGCUGAAUUACAACAGAUGAUGUUCUGUACAAUGAAUAGAACUGAAGUUCAGAUGAUGGAUUCAUGUUUCGGUGAUGUUAAUUUGGUAAUAAUUUAGUGAGAAGAUUGAUGUUAGCUGUUGUUAUGGUGAUGAUGUUGUUGUUGUGGUGUUGUGGACUGCAGGGAAGAGGUUGGUGGUUUAUUGUUGAACUGGUAAUGCUGAUGAAGCUCAGAAGUUAGUUGGUAUACAAUAUAGUUGUGUUGAUUGUUGUUGGGUUUGCUGUGAAAGCUUGGAAAAGCUGCUAUUGCAGUUAGUCUAUUAACAACGAUCGAAUCAAAGGAUGAACCACUGGAUCGAGGAUCUCGAGGUGGGCGUGGUUUGUCAUCAAAAGAGGUGGGAAUACUUUUAACUCUUUUGAAACCAUUGUAGUUUCUUUUACAAAGGUUUAUGUUUCACAAACUCAUGCAUUGUCUGUUUGUGCAUUGCAUACAUUGUUUAGUUUGUAUUAUGAUUGUUCUGUUGAUUUUUUGAAUCUUUCCAUGAAUUGGAAAGGACUUGUAAUGUUUGUCGUCAUUAUGAAUUGUUAUGGGAAAUGAUAAUUUCCACGUGUGGUAUAUAGGAUAUGCUCCUUCAUUUAUAUCUA